rnacentral:rRNA from 1 species
CUUGCUCCUUUGACGUUAGCGGCGGACGGGUGAGUAACACGUGGGUAACCUACCUAUAAGACUGGGAUAACUUCGGGAAACCGGAGCUAAUACCGGAUAAUAUUUCGAACCGCAUGGUUCGAUAGUGAAAGAUGGCUUUGCUAUCACUUAUAGAUGGACCUGCGCCGUAUUAGCUAGUUGGUAAGGUAACGGCUUACCAAGGCAACGAUACGUAGCCGACCUGAGAGGGUGAUCGGCCACACUGGAACUGAGACACGGUCCAGACUCCUACGG